rnacentral:tmRNA from 1 species
GGGGGCGUACUGGAUUCGACGGAGAUAUUGAGACGAAGGUUGCAUGUCGAGGUCCCACCCACCUCGUAAAACGGUGGACCCAAAUAAGUGCAGAACCUCUGCCACUCGCUGCUUAAAUAAAGCAGCCGUCUCUUCAUGUGAGUUCCCGCGGCACUGGAGAGGCGACGACGAGCGGGAUAGCGAGCCGCAUCCACCCGGAGUGCGGUGAGCGAAGCAAUAUUCGGGUUGGUUCUGCGGUGGCCCUCCUCUUCGGCAGCCGUGGAACGAGAAUGAAGGAGAGGAUAAGCGUGUAGAUGCCUUGCGUCGAAGGUCUUCGGACGCGGGUUCGAUUCCCGCCGCCUCCACCA